rnacentral:rRNA from 1 species
AUGGGCGGGCGGUUGCUUACACUACUUAAAAUCCUCCUCCAUGGAGAGGUCUAUAUACAUUGGUGGGCGGUUACUUACUACUUAAAAUCCUCCUCCAUGACCAUGGAGGUCCAUAUACAUGAGUGGGCACUUGCUUAUUACUACUUAAAAUCCUCCUCCAUGGAGGUCUAUAUACAUGAGUGGGGAGUUACUUACUACUUCAAAUCCUCCUCCAUGGAGCCAUGGAGGUGUACACAUGGGUGGGUGGUUACUUACUAUUUCAAAUCCUCCAUGGAGGUCUAUGGGCCGGCACGAUUAAACAGCCUCGCGCAAUUAUGCAUGCCUGUUCCAGUCCAGCAAAUUCGCGGUGCAGCUGCAGCGUUUUCUCUUCUCUCUCUCUCUCUUUUUCUUCUUGCGAAGAGAAAACGCUCCCUUCUUGUGGCUUCCUGUAUAUAUAGGAGAUGGUACACCGUGACUUGA